rnacentral:rRNA from 1 species
GAUGAACGCUGGCGGCGCGCCUAACACAUGCAAGUCGAACGAUUAAAGCACCUUCGGGUGUGUACAAAGUGGCGAACGGCUGAGUAACACGUGGGCAACCUGCCCCUCUCAUUGGGAUAGCCACGGGAAACCGUGGAUAAUACCGAAUACUUCGGGACUUCCGCAUGGAAGACUCGAGAAAGCUCCGGCGGAGAGGGAUGGGCCCGCGGCCUGUUAGCUUGUUGGUGGGGUAAUGGCCUACCAAGGCAAUGAUGGGUAGCUGGGUUGAGAGACCGACCAGCCAGAUUGGGACUGAGACACGGCCCAGACUCCUACGGGAGGCAGCAGUGGGGAAUCUUGCACAAUGGGCGAAAGCCUGAUGCAGCGACGCCGCGUGCGGGAUGAAGGCCUUCGGGUUGUAAACCGCUUUCAGCAGGGACGAGGCGAAAGUGACGGUACCUGCAGAAGAAGCCCCGGCUAACUACGUG